rnacentral:snRNA from 1 species
GGAUGUGAGGGCGAUCUGGAUGCGACAUCUGUCACCCCAUUAUUCUCCAGGGUUGAUUCGGCUAAUCUGGCUGGCUAGGCAGGUGUCCCCUUCCUCCCUCACCACUCCAUGUGCAUCCCUCCCGAAGCUGCGCGCUCAGUCGAAGAGGACGACCUUCCCCGAAUAGAGGAAGGUCUUCGGUCAAGGGUAUACAAGUAGCUGCGCUCCCCUGCUAGAACCUCCAAACAAGCUCUCAAAGGGGAAAGUGGGGGGGGGGAGGGUAUUACCAUGGAUUAUUUUUUAUAAUCAUGGAAGUUGUUAAUAAAAAUGU